GUAACAACGAAUGGCAAGAAGUCAGCAGAGGUCAUAGUAGCGACAGAGAGAGGCCGUGAAGGAC
rnacentral:ncRNA from 1 species